rnacentral:rRNA from 1 species
AUUGAACGCUGGCGGCAGGCCUAACACAUGCAAGUCGAGCGGAUGAAGGGAGCUUGCUCCUGGAUUCAGCGGCGGACGGGUGAGUAAUUCCUAGGAAUCUGCCUUGUAGUGGGGGAUAACGUCCGUAAACGGGCGCUAAUACCGCAUACGUCCUGAGGGAGAAAGUGGUGGAUCUUCGGACCUCACGCUAUCAGAUGACCCUAGGUCGGAUUAGCUAGUUGGUGGGGUAAAGGCCUACCAAGGCGACGAUCCGUAACUGGUCUGAGAGGAUGAUCAGUCACACUGGAACUGAGACACGGUCCAGACUCCUACGGGAGGCAGCAGUGGGGAAUAUUGGACAAUGGGCGAAAGCCUGAUCCAGCCAUGCCGCGUGUGUGAAGAAGGUCUUCGGAUUGUAAAGCACUUUAAGUUGGGAGGAAGGGCAGUAAGUUAAUACCUUGCUGUUUUGACGUUACCAACAGAAUAAGCACCGGCUAACUUCGUG